GACGAACGCUGGCGGCGUGCUUAACACAUGCAAGUCGAACGGAAAGGCCCUGCUUGCCGGGUACUCGAGUGGCGAACGGGUGAGUAACACGUGGGUGAUCUGCCCUGCACUUCGGGAUAAGCUUGGGAAACUGGGUCUAAUACCGGAUAGGAACCAUCUUUAGUGUGGUGGUUGGAAAGUUUUUUCGGUGUAGGAUGAGCUCGCGGCCUAUCAGCUUGUUGGUGGGGUAAUGGCCUACCAAGGCGGCGACGGGUAGCCGGCCUGAGAGGGUGUACGGCCACAUUGGGACUGAGAUACGGCCCAGACUCCUACGGGAGGCAGCAGUGGGGAAUAUUGCACAAUGGGCGCAAGCCUGAUGCAGCGACGCCGCGUGGGGGAUGAAGGCCUUCGGGUUGUAAACUCCUUUCGCUAGGGACGAAGCGUUGUUGUGACGGUACCUAGAUAAGAAGCACCGGCUAACUACGUG
rnacentral:rRNA from 1 species